GGACGAACGCUGGCGGCGUGCUUAACACAUGCAAGUCGAACGGUGAAGCGAGUGCUUGCCCUCGUGGAUCAGUGGCGAGCGGGUGAGUAACACGUGAGUAACCUGCCCAUCACUCUGGGAUAAGCACUGGAAACGGUGUCUAAUACUGGAUACGACCAACCCUUGCAUGGGGUGUUGGUGGAAAGAUUUAUCGGUGAUGGAUGGACUCGCGGCCUAUCAGCUUGUUGGCGGGGUAAUGGCCCACCAAGGCGACGACGGGUAGCCGGCCUGAGAGGGUGACCGGCCACACUGGGACUGAGACACGGCCCAGACUCCUACGGGAGGCAGCAGUGGGGAAUAUUGCACAAUGGGCGAAAGCCUGAUGCAGCGACGCCGCGUGAGGGAUGACGGCCUUCGGGUUGUAAACCUCUUUCAGCAGGGAAGAAGCGAAAGUGACGGUACCUGCAGAAGAAGCACCGGCUAACUACGUG
rnacentral:rRNA from 1 species